ACGCUGUCUCUAAGUAAAAUGCAAAAAUAGGGCUGGGGAUGUGGUUCAAUGGUUGAAACUCAGUGCCCCUGAGUUUCAUCCCAGGCCGACCCCCUCAAAAAAAGAAGCUCUUUUAUAAAAUCACAGUCUUCAAAAUAAACUCCAACUUUUGUCCAUGUGGAAACAGUGGAUUUCAUUUGUCCCACAAAUAACGAUGGAAUACAUUCUAAGAAAUGGGAGGUUAGGCAAUUUUGUCAUUGAGUGAACAUUACAAAGUGUUCUUACAUAUUUAGAGCUCACUGUGAUGUCACUCGGUGGUAGAAUUUUAUGACACAGCAUCAUAUAUGCAGUCCACUUUUAGACAAAAUGUCUAGGUGGCCCAUGACUGUAAUAUUGAGCGCCUACUGUGUUCCAGGCACCUGGGAUACAUCAGAGAAUAAAACAAACAUCCCUGCCCGCUAGUUGGAGGAGAUAGGUGAAAAAUAAACAGAUUUGCAAAUUAAAUAGAGUGCUAAAAAUAGGCGACUGCAAAUGAGGAAAAUAAACAAAGCAGGGAAUGUAUAGAGAAUUGCAAUUCUAAAUAGGACUGACAUUAUUUAAAAAGUGAUAUGUGAGCAGAGACUUGAAAGAAGUGAGGCAAUUGGUCAUGUAGCCAUCUGGAAGAACAAUAAAUACAAAGGCCAUUGGGCAGGAGUAUGCUUGGCCUGCUGGAGGCACAGCAAGGAGGCCAGUGUGCUGGAAUGCAGUGGAGGAGGGGAAGGACUUUAACACUUCAAAUAGCCUCCACUAAUGGCACUGUUUUAAGCACUUAAAAAAAAUAGUAGGUAGGCCUCCCAAAACUUAUAGGAUAUGAACACUAAUUUUCUCUUUUCCAGAUGAGGAAACUAAGGCUCAGGAAGGUUAAAUAACUGCCCCCCCAAAUCAUACAGCUAUUUUGUGAUAUAGCUGGGUUUGGAACUGAGUGGUCUGUUUCCAGCCUUUAAGCACCAGAGGAUGCUGCGUUUCUUCUUAGUAGUAAGAGUUUAUCAGCUACAUCCUGGAGGCCUCAGCAGAUGCUCUCACCACCAUCUCACAAAUCCUGAGUUGCUGAUUCUGUCUCAGUCACUGCUGCAGCUGACUUGCUCUGUUUGGGCCCACAGAGUCCUGCUACCAAAUCUGCCACUCUUCUGCCUGGCCCUCUCCCCUGGCUGUGCUCACCAGCUAUCCACCACGCUGGUUUCUCACUCUUCCCUCAACCGAGAUUAAAAGCCACACCACAGAACACUGGGUAUGGCUUGCUGUGAAACUAACAGUGAGAACAGGGGCCAGGACCCAAAGUAUGAGGAAUGUCCUUCCUACUGGGGGUGAACUUGGACCACUGGGAAGUAGAUGAGAAGGCAUCAAGAAGAUGGUUCCUUGUCCUUUCUCCUCUGAGUACUUACCUGAGGCAUGGUGUGGCCAUGCCACUCGUCUGGCAGUAUUGUAUAUGGUGGCACAGAUGUUCUUACUGCCUUCUGCCGAUGACCCAAGCAUCAUAAGGCCGCUUCCCAUCUUCUUCUGUCUCUCUUCCCUUUUUCUCUCCCUCUUACUGCCUGGGAUUGCAUCUCCUAAAUAAAACAUUACAUUAA